rnacentral:lncRNA from 1 species
AGGACAUUAGGUUUUAUAAGAACAAAUGCUUCCAGAGUUAGAGGAUUAGUACCAUUAAAAUCUAUGAAGUAUGCUGAGCUUUCCUAUGGAAACUAUUAGUCCAGCAAACCGUUUCUGUACUUUGCAGGUGUCCAUUUGCUGUCUAUAAACCUGAUGAUGGAAUAGACGUUGACAUAUCCAUUUUAUUCACAUGUUCUGUGAAAUACAAUUGGAAAACUAAAGACAUGACUCAAGGAGAAUACUAAGUUGAAGCUCAGGAGAGAGGAUGGGUCAGAGUCUUCAGGGUUGUCUCAAGUGAGCUCGUAUCUGCUUCUCGUGAAGCCUCUUGAUGGUACAUCUUCAAAUUAUCUCCCCUCCUUGUUAAUGCGGGAAGAGCACUGAAGUGGGAAUGAAGAGAUUUGCUUCUUGUCUAGACUCUGCCAUUGACCCACAAAAUGGCCUUGGAUAAUCCCCUUCCUCCUGCUGGGCUCCAGCUGCCAUCUGGACCGUGAUGAGCUCCUGGAGCACUGCAUCGGGAGGGCUGCCGGUCCCUGCCAACUAGACACAGAGGGAAAUUGGCUCCAAAACUGGAACAAGCUUCAAAUCCUGUUCUGGGAAGACCAGGGCUGGGAAAGGGGUGGCUUGGGGCUGGUUCCCUCCUGCACUGACACGGAGGAGCUGGAAGGCCAUGCCCUGCCUGGGAUGCAGCCUGGGGCACGGGUGGGGUAAGCAUGCACAGGGUUCCAGCAUUGAUGGUUUAUGUCAAUGUCUGCCAACUGUUGCUUGUUUGAGACAAG